CCCUUAGAUGUUCUGGGCUGCACGCGCGCUACACUGAGGCGUUCAACGAGUAUUCACCUUGCCCGGGAGGGUUGGGUAAUCUUUUGAAAACGCUUCGUGAUGGGGAUAGAUUAUUGCAAUUAUUAAUCUUCAACGAGGAAUUCCUAGUAAGCGCGAGUCAUCAGCUCGUGCUGAUUACGUCCCUGCCCUUUGUACACACCGCCCGUCGCUCCUACCGAUUGAGUGAUCUGGUGAAUAAUUCGGACUGCAGCACUGCUUGGUCUCCAGGCUUUGCAGCGGAAAGUUUAGUGAACCUUAUCACUUAGAGGAAGGAGAAGUCGUAACA
rnacentral:rRNA from 1 species